AUGAUGUGCGGGCCUCACUUGAACGCGUAUCAUGCAGGGAAGGUGACGGACGCGGCAGAGGAAGAAGAAGCAAAGCUCAAUGUGGAUGGGGGCAUAUCGAGGCAGGGCCAUAUGGGCGCAGCAGCUGUGAUAUGCAGAAACAAAGAAGGUCUCUUCCUGGAGGCUUCGGCAGUGGUUUUCAAGGGUCUGAAUGAUGCAGCUGCUCUGGAGGCUCAUGCUUGCAAUGAAGCCUUGGCUUUGGCCACGGACCUGAAUCUAACUCGCUUGCAGAUUGCAUCUGAUUGCUUGGAAGUGAUGAAUAACAUAGGAAUGGCAUCGGCAACACACUAUGCACCGGUGUUACACGAAAUAUUAGAGAGGAGAAGGAAUUUCCAUCAUGUCAAGUUCAAGUUUGAACAUAGAGAAAACAAUUUCGAAACUCAUGCACUGGUGAAAGCGGCGACGUCUCUUGCUGUAGGUCGCCACAUUUGGCUAGGGACAGUCCCAGACAUUAUUUGUAUUUCGAUGUUGAUUACUGUUUAA
rnacentral:rRNA from 1 species